GAGAUACCAACUAUUUCUGAGGCGAAGUAUCUUAUUUUGGAAUUUUUGGUCCUCAAUGCUCUUCAACUUUGUAUUUGUUUUGGCUUUCAAACUUUUUUGAUCUCAGCGUCACUGGUGAGUCUUAUGUAGACGAAACGCGCGUCUGGCGUAUAAAAUUAUAACCCUGGUACCUUUGAGAACUAACGAUUAAGUUAUGUCGUCUUAACGAGUGACCAAGUCUUUACAACAAGUUAUCUAAAUCGUUACAACGAGGUGACUUAGUCGUGAUUACGAGGAAAAUAUGUAUGUCAAUGAAUUAGUUUAGUCGUUAAAGCGAGUUAGCAAAGUCGAAGGGUUUAGUUUUUGAAAGUACCAUAAGUCAUGUUCGAAAAAAUAUCUAACGACAUGUAUGUCCUACCCUGGAUCAUCCUAGGAUACAUCUAAGACUGUGAAUGAAAGGUGUCAUAAAAAAGUCAUAAUCAGGGUCGUCAUAGGACUAUUCUACAUGAUAUAUGCGUUGUAUGUAAAACAUUCUUUCGUCCCUUACAUCCAAUUUCUAUAUCUAAUGAUUAUUACAGGAA
rnacentral:lncRNA from 1 species